AUGGUUCAACGGUCGGCCGGCCAGGGCGCGCGGCGGGGCCAGGGCCGGCAGCAGCACGACCACCCGACGGCGGCGAGGUCAGGGGGCGGGGGAAGGCGGCAUUACCAGCAGGAGCUGCUGCUGGGGCUGCACAGCAACAAGGGCAGGGGCGCGUGCCGGUUCAAGCGCAGCUGCUUCAGCGAGGAGGAGGACGCCGCGUCGUCCGCCAUGCUGCUGCUCGCCUGCGUCGUCUGCGCCCCCUCACUUUGA
rnacentral:rRNA from 1 species